CAACACUCACUAAUCCAUCCCUCUCACAAAUGCCCUCCAUAUAGGCCAAGAAUCACCUACAAACAUCCUUGAUAUGGAUAGUCUUAUUCUUCUCGUCAUUUACUUCUUCUCCUUCUUCAAUGUAUCUUAUUCUCUGUUGUUUCUAAUCGAUUAUAUCUUCUUCUCAUCCAAAAUUCAACCAAAAGUUAAGUUGAAAAAAGGUACUUACGAUCUUGUAAGUGGUUUUAUUUAUUUCAUUGUUCUUUGCUUCUUUCUAUCCGUAUAAUAGGAGUUCAACUACGAUGUAAAGAAAUUUUUUUUUACCAACAACAUGCUGACCAAUUGUUUGAUGUAUUGCUUAUCACUAGGACCUGUUAGCUUGCAUUUUUUCUCCAUUUAAAUGCUUUUAUUUGUUUAUGUUAUUAUUUAGGCAUUGAUUUUUGUUUCAUUAAGGUUGUGAAAGAUGGCACAUCAGGCAUGGGUGAAGCUUUUAAGGGGCGGCCAACCCUUCGAACUUUUCGUUCGGUGAGAGAAAUGAUCAGAAGCCAGAAGUUGUUUAGUCGUCGGUUGCGGGUGGUUCAAUAUGUGCUUUAACCCAUCUUCAAACCCAGUUAUUUAAUGUAUGCCAUCUACUCGGAUGUUCGUUAACAAACCAGGGGGCUGGACGUGAACUCCAUAAACGUGUCUCAAGGUAAUUUCUAUGGUUCUGGUUCCAAGUAUGAUGGAAGAUGUCUGUUCGGGUUGCAAGAAUGAAGGGAAGAGGUCGGUUUAGGUUGCAAGUAUGAAGGCAUUGGUUCGGGAAUGUACAUCACAUUCAUCUUCAGAGUUGUGUUACUUUGAAGUUUUUGUAAAUUUGUGUUACUUUAAAAACUUUGUAAUUUAUCUUCUUGGGUUAUUUUAUAUUGGU